rnacentral:rRNA from 1 species
GAGGGGCGCAGCUGAUCCAGCAUGCCGCGUGUGUGAUGAAGGCCUUCGGGUUGUAAAGCUCUUUCGCGGGGAAGAUAAUGACGGUGCCUGGUAAAGAAACCCCGGAUAUUUCCGUGCCAGCAGCCGCGGUAAUACGGAGGGGGUUAGCGUUGUUCGGAAUUACUGGGGGUAAAGCGCGCUUAGGCGGAUUGUAAAGUCGGGGGUGAAAUCCCGGGGCUCAACCCCGGAACUGCCUCCAAAACUGUAUGUCUUGAGUUCGAGAGAGGUGAGUGAACUUCCGAGUGUAGAGGGGGAAUGCAAUUAUAUGCGGAGGAGCACAAUGGGCAAAAAUCCGCUCACUACGCCCGAUACUGACGCUGACGUGCUGAAGCGUGGGUAGCCUCAGGGAUUAAAUACCCUGGUAGUCCACGCCGUUAACUAUCAGGGCCAUCCCGUCCCGGAAAAAUAUGUCUACAUUGACGCCCCCUAACGGAAUUAAGUUUUUGCGCCCUGCGGAAACGGGUUAAAGCACUACCCCUGGGAGGAAUGUGCCCCAGGGAGAAACUUAAUGGAUUU